UUCCUGGAAUAAUCAGAUUUAGACUGAAAAAAAUUUAUUAGAAUUUAACUAAGAGAAGAAACUCGGUUAAGUGGGGAACAUGUCGCCACGUCGUGACGUCACUAUCGGCUCGUCGGGAUGUAGUGUUACUUCUCGCCGGUACAUUAUAGUCACGUCGCCGGGAUGACGAAUCUUCUUCAUCACGACAUCAACUCUGUUUCAUCUUAAAUGCGAGUCACACUCCAUAUAUAUAUAUAAUUGUUAUGGUUGAUGAAGAAAUUGCAGAACAUGCAUAGACAUAUUUGAAGAAGAUGAGCCUGUGGAUGUCAAUGUGCAAUUUCGUGGCUGCAAUUACAACGGGCAAAAAAG
rnacentral:lncRNA from 1 species